rnacentral:misc_RNA from 1 species
GAAAUGCGAUAAGUAAUGUGAAUUGCAGAAUUCAGUGAAUCAUCGAAUCCUUGAACGCACAUUGCGCCCGCCAGUAUUCUGGCGGGCAUGCCUGUUCGAGCGUCAUUUCAACCAUCAAGCCCCCCGGCUUGUGUUGGGGACCUGCGGCUGCCGCAGGCCCUGAAAAGCAGUGGCGGGCUCGCUGUCACACCGAGCGUAGUAGCAUACAUCUCGCUCUGGGCGUGCUGCGGGUUCCGGCCGUUAAACCACCUUCGUAACCCAAGGUUGACCUCGGAUCAGGUAGGAAGACCCGCUGAACUUAAGC